GACGAACGCUGGCGGCAUGCCUAACACAUGCAAGUCGAACGAGUCCUUCGGGCCUAGUGGCUCACGGGUACGUAACGCGGGGGAACCUGCCCUUAGGUUCGGAAGAACGCCCCGUAAGGGGUGCUAAUACCGAAUAAUUUCUACCAACCAAAGAUGUAUCGGCUUUGUGUGGGCCCGCGUUGGAUUAGCUAGUUGGCAGGGUAAAAGCCUGCAGAGGGGACGAUCCAUAGCUGGUCUGAGAGGAUGAUCAGGAACACUGGGACAGGGACACGGCGCAGACUCCUAGGGAAGGCAGCAGGGGGGAAUAUGGGACAAUGGGCGAGAGAAUGAGCCAGCAAGGUCGCGUGAGUGAUGAAGGAGUGAGGAUUGUAAAGCUCUGUUACCCGGGAUGAUAAGGACAGAACCGGGAGAAUAAGCACCGGCAAAUUCGGU
rnacentral:rRNA from 1 species